AUGUAGAAACAUGAGGAGAUCCCAUGGGCUUAGGCUGGUGUUGAGUACGUUGUUGAGUCCACUGGUGUUUUCACUAACAAGGACAGUGCUGCAGCUCACAUUAAGCCUUAA
rnacentral:rRNA from 1 species